CAGGAUGAACGCUGGCGGCAUGCCUAAUACAUGCAAGUCGAACGAGAGGAAGGAAAGCUUGCUUUUCUGAAUCUAGUGGCGAACGGGUGAGUAACACGUAGGUAACCUGCCCAUGUGCCCGGGAUAACUUCUGGAAACGGAUGCUAAAACCGGAUAGGUAGCAGACAAGCAUUUGACUGCUAUUAAAGUGGCUAAGGCCAUGAACAUGGAUGGACCUGCGGUGCAUUAGCUAGUUGGUGAGGUAACGGCCCACCAAGGCGACGAUGCAUAGCCGGCCUGAGAGGGCGGACGGCCACAUUGGGACUGAGACACGGCCCAAACUCCUACGGGAGGCAGCAGUAGGGAAUUUUCGUCAAUGGGGGGAACCCUGAACGAGCAAUGCCGCGUGAGUGAGGAAGGUCUUCGGAUCGUAAAGCUCUGUUGUAAGAGAAAAACGGCACUCAUAGGGAAUGAUGAGUGAGUGAUGGUAUCUUACCAGAAAGUCACGGCUAACUACGUGCCAGCAGCCGCGGUAAUACGUAGGUGGCGAGCGUUAUCCGGAAUGAUUGGGCGUAAAGGGUGCGUAGGUGGCAGAUCAAGUCUGGAGUAAAAGGUAUGGGCUCAACCCGUACUGGCUCUGGAAACUGAUCAGCUAGAGAACAGAAGAGGACGGCGGAACUCCAUGUGUAGCGGUAAAAUGCGUAGAUAUAUGGAAGAACACCGGUGGCGAAGGCGGCCGUCUGGUCUGGAUUCUGACACUGAAGCACGAAAGCGUGGGGAGCAAAUAGGAUUAGAUACCCUAGUAGUCCACGCCGUAAACGAUGAGAACUAGGUGUUGGGGGAAUAACUCAGUGCCGCAGUUAACGCAAUAAGUUCUCCGCCUGGGGAGUAUGCACGCAAGUGUGCAACUCAAAUGAAUUGACGG
rnacentral:rRNA from 1 species